rnacentral:rRNA from 1 species
AGUGAACGCUGGCGGUAGGCCUAACACAUGCCAGUCGAACGGCAGCACAGUAAGAGCUUGCUCUUACGGGUGGCGAGUGGCGGACGGGUGAGGAAUACAUCGGAAUCUACUUUUUCGUGGGGGAUAACGUAGGGAAACUUACGCUAAUACCGCAUACGACCUACGGGUGAAAGCAGGGGAUCUUCGGACCUUGCGCGAUUGAAUGAGCCGAUGUCGGAUUAGCUAGUUGGCGGGGUAAAGGCCCACCAAGGCGACGAUCCGUAGCUGGUCUGAGAGGAUGAUCAGCCACACUGGAACGGAGACACGGUCCAGACUCCUACGGGAGGCAGCAGUGGGGAAUAUUGGACAAUGGGCGCAAGCCUGAUCCAGCCAUACCGCGUGGGUGAAGAAGGCCUUCGGGUUGUAAAGCCCUUUUGUUGGGAAAGAAAAGCAGCAGGUUAAUACCCCGCUGUUCUGACGGUACCCAAAGAAUAAGCAUCGGCUAACUUCGUG